UCAUAGCCCAGAUAGAGACGAUAUCCUUUUAAUUGUUCCAUAAAAAACAAUUAAAAGAUAAAGACGAUAGCUGGAAAUAGC
rnacentral:sRNA from 2 species